AGAAAGGAAUGUAGGCAUGUACUUGAGUUGUGGAUUCUUAUAAUUAAAGUAGUAUUUUCCAAAAGAUUAAUCUGGUAAUUAUGUCCCUGAUGUAUUGAAAAUUGUCAGGACUGAAAAAGGCCUGGAUAACACUAAUGUAAUUACAACAACAGUCUCAGAUGAGAACAGUGAUCUCUAAUAAUAUUAAGAGAAGCCAAGAGCAUUAGGAAUAAUAUCAAGUAUAAUGACUAGGUUUCAGGUAAGGUUGUCAGGAGGUGUCAGGCAGUGGUGAUUGUCAGAUGGGAACCAGAGUAGAAAACUGAAGGAUCAAGGGGCCAUUGAGAGGAAGAGGCAUGGGCCAGGACUAGAGAGUUCUGGAAAGGCCCAAGAGCUCAGUCAGAAAUGAGCUAGUGUCUAGGAAAAUAAUUCAGAAUGGAAAUGAGCCUGGGCACUGCAGACCAGAGCAAGGUAACAGCAAGGCUGCAGCAAGCAGGCAGAGAUCAGGUGGGCUCAGACAUGAGGAAGGAUAUAGCAUGCCCCAAGGAAUGGCCAAAGUCAGAAAAUUUGGAAUGGACUCAGAUUAUAACCCAGACCUGCUGACUAAGCAGCAUCAAACAAAAAGAUUCUGUGAGCAGAGAAGUCUAGAAUUCAGCUGUGAGUUCACAGAUAAUUGUGGAGGCCCAGCAUUAAGCAACAUUGGUACUGCCAAUGGGAAUAUCCCAAAGGCAGUUGAAAUGUUUUCUUAUGAUAUCUGAAAAUCUGGAGAAGCUUGAAAGAAAGGAAGACAAGGAAGAAACAAGUGGAAAUUUAAUGUUUAAAAGUAUACAGAAGUAAUCACAGAAAAAAAAACUACAGGAAUUUUUGUACAGUAGCUAUUUUAGUAGUUAGUACUGUUUUUAUUCUUAAUUAUAUGGUUGGGUUGGGGAAACACAGUGGAAGCAGAACAUAAAGUUGUUGGUGAUACUAGGUGUACUUCUCUGGUACUACUGGAUAUUGAAGAAAACUUUGCCCCAACUGAAAAGUAGCUUAGAUGUUCCUUGCUAUGUUAAUAAGGAACUAUCUUACCCAAGAACUGCAGAAGAAGUAGGAUGGAGAGGGAAUUCAUCCAGGUCUGAAGACAAUGAUUUAUUUCUUUGGAGAAUAAAAAAGGAGAACAGCAAAUAAGGUGGAACUGGGUUCCAGGAAGAAUGGUGAGUUUGCAUUUUGUCCAGUUUCAUGUGGAACUGACAGAAGGUCCUUGAAAGAAAAUUUUUUACUAGCCCCAUAAAGAUGCAAACUAGCUGGAAAUGCAGAUAUUUGCCAUCACACAUGAACUGAAAAUUGAAAGUGGAUGAGAGAAGCAUCUUUGCUUAUUAUUGCUAGUCACAUCAACUAACUGUUAUUUAAACAAAAUUGUUUCUGUUACUUCAUUUUGAAGAUGUCCACUCAUUCUAUACUAACAAGAGCAUGAAUGGCUAUGGUAGACUUUGGCUUCAGCUACACUGGCUCAUAAUUAGAUAUGCAACUAUUGAGGCUGUCAGUUGCCAACAGAACUGGAAGUAUCAUAUAGAUUAAAAAGGAGACCUGCUUGCAAGGAGCUGGAGGGUC
rnacentral:lncRNA from 1 species